UACGUAGGGUGCAAGCGUUAUCCGGAAUUAUUGGGCGUAAAGAGCUCGUAGGCGGUCUGUCGCGUCUGCUGUGAAAACUCGGGGCUUAACCCCGGGCCUGCAGUGGGUACGGGCAGACUAGAGUGCGGUAGGGGAGACUGGAAUUCCUGGUGUAGCGGUGAAAUGCGCAGAUAUCAGGAGGAACACCGGUGGCGAAGGCGGUUCUCUGGGAAUGACCUGACGCUGAGGAGCGAAAGUGUGGGGAGCGAACAGG
rnacentral:rRNA from 1 species